UGAAAGCAGCUCGUGACCCCGAAACUGCAUCCCCCGGAGCCGGGGACCCAGGCGCCAGGCGGGCGGGUGAACCCGGCCAGUCCCCUCCCAAUCCCCGCAACCCCCCGCCUCCGAGUUGGGGGGGAACCCAGGCCUGGAGGGAGGUUGGGCAGGUGCCGCGGGCUGUGCCGAAAGCGCUGAAAUCGAAAACCCUCGCCACUCGGGAAGAACUGAGGCAAAAGGAUUGCAGACUCAGCUCGGGAACAGCCCUGCACUCCAGCCACUGCCUGGUCGCUCGUGGGCCCGCUGGGCUCGGCGGUUGGGUGGCGGCCGCGCCUUUCGAGCGCUAAGCCGGGAGGAGGGCGCAGGCAAGGCGCACAGUUCUGAGUGCGCCCCUACCCGGCCCGGGCCUGCUGCAGCCCCGACUGUCCGAGAGCCUCUCGGCAGAAGAGGGUUGUGCGCAGCCCUCUGAGCCCACCUCCUGGCCACACUGUCGCCAGCGCUUCUCCAGCUCAGGCCGGAAGCAAUACGCUGCUUCCAAAGCCGAUCCGGAGCUGGCCGACCCCAGACUGAUUCUCAACAGGUGGCUGGGUAGCCCCCACACUCCGUUGGUCGUGAGGGCCCAUCGCACACGGCGGCGAAGCCACCUUACCCCACACCCCACACCUCACCCCGCCGGCCCAAAAAUUGACCGCCCGCGCCCGAGUCGGGGGAGCCAGGAGGAUCCCCCAGGGUAGGGGAGCAGGGAGGAUCUUACCUGCCGUAAGGAAUACACUACCUGAAGUUAGUCGCAAGUCAGCUUCAAUCACGGAAAAACCACGUCUAGAAGAUUCCAUGAAGCCGCUUCCAAUCGCACGAGAACACGUGCGCAACACCCUUCAAGAUCUCUGGGAUCACGUCCUCAACUGGUAUUCACAGACGGUGUUUGCACUGCAAUUGUGCGAGAACACACUUAAGGAGGAUUAAAGAACCCUAGCAACAGAGCUGGAGGAAUAAAGAAGUGUCCAUAUGCAUGGGUCGAAUGCAUGGGUACACACCCAGUUGUCCAGAUGCAAACAAAGCUGCAGUGCCCACGUGAAGACAGACACACAGGCACCUAUAUACAGGAAGCCAAGGAGAGUAAGCUCAACUGGCAUGCAGUAUUUCCUGCAAGAGGUAUGUUGUCCGUGGAGGAAGAAACUUUGCUGAGUCUUCUGGAAGUAAAAGUUUCAGUUCUGAAGAAAGAGCCAAGGAAUCAUCUACCCCGAGCCUGCCUUCAGACUCUCCUACCUGCUCUGUUGGAGACACCCAGAAGAGGGCAAUACAGGAAAGAUUGCUUUUGACUCAGUUAUUUCUCUUGGUUGGUGCCUUUUUCAUCCUCUGCCUGGGAGACUGUGCUCCAGAGUAGGGCUUGAGCACACAGCACUGACAGUCUUCGCCAGGUGACAGGAGAGUCUCAAUUUCCAACGGGAACAUUCAGUUCUAAAGAAGCUUCCAGAUGUGCAAAAGCCCUGGCUGCCCCCCUUUCGGUUUUUCUUUUUUCUCUUCUGAGAUCUGAAGAGAACAGUAGCUCUCCCCAACCCCAAGGGUAUCAAAUAUCUGCAAGGAAUGUGCUAGUGCAAGCUAAAUUCUUUAUUUAACUAAUAUUCUUUUGUGGGAUAUUGAGAAGUCUUCAACCAUGGCUCGUCUAUUCCAGGCAGAGAUUGAGGUCCUGGCCUGGCUGUGAGUCUACCAACAGGGCUUCCCACAGUGGUUUGGGGGCUAGAUUGAAUAAGUGUGCAAAUUUAUUCUCACUGUCACCUCUUUUGCCUGCCCUGGACCAUACUGCCCCAGUCAGGGACUGCCCCAAGCAAUGGUGCCCUUCCCCACAUUGCCUUUUCCAACUUGCUCUCUCGAGCUCAUUUUCUGAGCCUCCCUCUUUGAAAGUAGUAGGAGUGAAGUCUUGGACCAUUUCUUUAAAAGGACGGCAAGGAAGAGGGAGGGAGGAAGGGAAGGAGGAAAGGGGGUGGGAGGAGGUGCUAGCUCCUAGGCCAACCAGCCCAGGAGCUGCUCUCCAAGGGGGAAAAGAGAGCUGCAGUUGUAAAGAGGAAAUGACCCCCAAACACUGCUGCAGGGCACACCGUCACAGAUGUAACCGUCCCCUGAAGUGACCGAGGGGUGUGACUAGGGAAGGUUUUCUGCCCUUUGGGGAGCAGUUCUUUUCACUUUUCCAAGACACUCUUAGUUCCUGGACAUUUUAGUGAAUUUGUUCUUGUUUGCGUCUUGAACAAUAAAUUGUGAAAAUCGCCCCUAGAGUCCAUGUAAUCUUAAUCUUCGUCAGCAGGGCAGUUGCUGCCAAAGCUUUGUUAGUCCAGUCGGGGUUUUUUUUUUUUUUUUUUUUUUUGUUUUUGUUUUGUUUUGUUUUUGUUUUUGUUUUUGUUUUUCUCUCACGCCCAAAUUUGAAUCACCUGCUGAUGCACCUCAGAAGGAGGCUGUGGUCAAAAGAGUGAACUGAAUAAGGAGGCAUCCCCCUCCGAUCCAAAGUGUAACUCUCCUUCCUUCUUCUAGCUGAGAUUCGGAACACAAAGAAACGAACUGGUUGCCUUUGAACAUUCUCUACCUCUUGGGGUAGUUUAGAGCCUUUCUCACGACGCAUCCCAGCGCUUGAGAACUGGAAGGGUUUGCUCUGACUCUCCAGUCUCACAAUAAUUUCCACACUCUAACUGGAAAAUGUGUUUAUGUGGGUUUAGGUGGAAGACUGUACCAGUCACCUCUCAAGCAAAGAUCUUCUGUUUUCUCAUAACCCCGAAGGCUCCACAUACUUCACUGGACAUUUUAAUUUAUUUUUCUUUCUUACCCUUGUUCCUUCUGCCCAGGACACAGAACUAGGGGCAAAACUUGGGAGAUCUGUGACCUUCUUGAUAGCACCCCACAACUCUUAGGUUUGUGUUGAGCAGUGAUAACCUGUCUCACAUAGGUCAAUGCAUAUAUGUGUAUGCAUGCAUGCGUUCCUAUUGGGUUGCCCACACUUUCCCAACACACUCGGGCUGCCUAGAUGAAGCAAGCUAUUUCCGCUGCCCAGGGCAAAGGGCUAACCGCCCUUGUGGGUCUAGUGUUGGCAUAGGAUAUUACCGGUGUGUGUGUGUGUGUGUGUGUGUGUGUGUGUGUGUGUGUGUGUGUGUGAUAGGGCAGUCAUUACCUUCAACAAUAAAUUAAAAUAACCAGAUACCCCUUUAAUCCUUUCCACAACAGUGUCAACGCUCUGGAGACGGCGUCUCACCUCCCAAGGUGUCUUCACUCCCAGAGGGGCCGGGGCUCUGCCGCAGCCCAACACUGGGCUGGCGCUUAGAGAGGAGGUACUCCGACGGAAAAAAUCCCAUACAUUUUUAACUACAGUGAUUACUAAAUUAAUAGCAGGCACCAAGACAGAUGUCAAAACGUCUUGAAAAUGUUUAUCUGUGAAUAAUUGAGAAGGUAGUGGGACGCAUUAUCUGAUUGUGUAAUGAAAUAUGUAUGAGGAACAGCUGUUUGCAGCAGCCCCUUCCCACCGCCGCCUUAGCCAGGGCCCGUCUCUGGCAGGCAGGAGUCUUCGGUGAACUUGCUCGCCCACUUUCUUCCACCUGGGAGUUCCUCGCCUCUUCCCUGGCUGCUCUGCACCGCUGUGGCUAUUAGUGAAGCCCAGAGUCGCCUGGUUCUCUGAUGGAGGGUAUCCACACCGUUUCCCCUCAGCCUUGGUCGGUUAGUGUUCGCGGAGGGGUGCGGCGGCUUCUCUGCCGGCUGCUCUGGCCAUCGCGCCUUCCGGCCCGGCUGCCCGCUGGGUCUCCAUGGAUGCAGGAGUGCAGACGAUGGAACGGGCGGCGGCCGCGGCCGCGGUGGCCCGGAGUCCCCGGAGCACCUGGCGUGGGCUGGUCGAGCUGCGCGACCCGGUCAGAGUAAAGGCCCGGGAGCCCCGCGACUCAGCGGGGCGGGUCUGGGGUCACUGCGGGGUGACGGGGCUGGGGAUCUGGCUUUGUUUCCCUCUCUAGCCACCCUGCACACUUCCUUCCAGCCCCCAGCCAGCCUCCAAGACGCUGAGCCCUGGUCCUGUUUGUUUUUCCAGCCCCGAGCCCUCCACCCAGACGCACAAAUAGCCCUCGAGGCUGCCCCAGGCCGUGGCCCAGCUCAGGCCGCAGUCUAGCCUCCGCCUCGCCACGAGUUCUGGCCCCGCAGGAAGCAGAGGGGACGGGAGGGCUUCAGGGUCUUCCUGGAGCCAGAGGGCACA